GCUCAUCUCAUCCUGGGGCUGUAGUCGGUCCCAAGGGUAUGGCUGUUCGCCAUUUAAAGAGGUACGUGAGCUGGGUUUAAAACGUCGUGAGACAGUUUGGUCCCUAUCUGCCGUGGGCGUUGGAAGAUUGACGGGGGCUGCUCCUAGUACGAGAGGACCGGAGUGGACGCACCUCUGGUGUACCGGUUGUCACGCCAGUGGCAUUGCCGGGUAGCUAAGUGCGGAAGAGAUAACCGCUGAAAGCAUCUAAGCGGGAAACUUGCCUGAAGAUGAGUCUUCCCGGAGGUUGAACCUCCCUCAAGAGUCGUCCGAGACCAGGACGUCGAUAGGUCAGGUGUGUAAGCGCUGUAAGGCGUUGAGCUAACUGAUACUAAUUGCUCGUGAGGCUUGAUCCUAUAACC
rnacentral:rRNA from 1 species